rfam:Candidatus Stoquefichus sp. KLE1796 genomic scaffold Scaffold145, whole genome shotgun sequence.
AGUGGAAAGAAGAAGUGCCUGCUUCUCGCCUGAGUGUCUAUAACGCUAGGCAAAUGUCACUAAGAUACUUAUCUUAAUGUCAAUGUGGGUACUUAUGUGCUCACUUUUUAUUUGUACU